rnacentral:rRNA from 1 species
UACAGAGGGUGCAAGCGUUAAUCGGAAUUACUGGGCGUAAAGGGAGCGUAGGCGGAUAGUUUAGUCAGAGGUGAAAGCCCAGGGCUCAACCUUGGAAUUGCCUUUGAUACUGGCUAUCUUGAGUACGGAAGAGGUAUGUGGAACUCCGAGUGUAGAGGUGAAAUUCGUAGAUAUUCGGAAGAACACCAGUGGCGAAGGCGACAUACUGGUCCGUUACUGACGCUGAGGCUCGAAAGCGUGGGGAGCAAACAGGG